UACGUAGGGUGCGAGCGUUGUCCGGAAUUAUUGGGCGUAAAGAGCUCGUAGGCGGUUUGUUGCGUCUAUCGUGAAAACCUGCAGCUUAACUGUGGGCUUGCGGUGGAUACGGGCAGACUUGAGUUCGGUAGGGGAGACUGGAAUUCCUGGUGUAGCGGUGAAAUGCGCAGAUAUCAGGAGGAACACCGGUGGCGAAGGCGGCUUGCUGGGCCUUACCUGACGCUGAGGAGCGAAAGCGUGGGGAGCGAACAGG
rnacentral:rRNA from 1 species